rnacentral:rRNA from 1 species
UACAGAGGGGGCAAGCGUUAAUCGGAAUUACUGGGCGUAAAGCGUGCGUAGGCGGUAGCGUAAGUCGGGUGUGAAAGCCCCGGGCUCAACCUGGGAAUUGCAUUCGAGACUGCUCUGCUAGGGUGCGGAAGAGGGAAGCGGAAUUUCCGGUGUAGCGGUGAAAUGCGUAGAUAUCGGAAGGAACACCAGUGGCGAAAGCGGCUUCCUGGUCCAGCACCGACGUUCAGGCACGAAAGCGUGGGGAGCAAACAGG